GGAGCUAAUCCCUUAAAGCUACUCUCAGUUCGGAUUGUAGGCUGAAACUCGCCUACAUGAAGCUGGAGUUACUAGUAAUCGCAGAUCAGAAUGCUGCGGUGAAUGCGUUCCCGGGUCUUGUACACACCGCCCGUCACACCACGGGAGUUGGAGACGCCCGAAGCCGAUUAUCUAACCUUUUGGAAGAAGUCGUCGAAGGUGGAAUCAAUAACUGGGGUGAAGUCGUAACAAGGUAGCCGUAUCGGAAGGUGCGGCUGGAUCACCUCCUUUCUAAGGAGA
rnacentral:rRNA from 1 species